rnacentral:rRNA from 1 species
UACGUAGGGGGCUAGCGUUGUCCGGAAUCAUUGGGCGUAAAGCGCGCGUAGGCGGCCCGGUAAGUCCGCUGUGAAAGUCAAAGGCUCAACCUUUGAAUGUCAGCGGAUACUGCCGGGCUAGAGUCCGGAAGAGGCGAGUGGAACUCCUGGUGUAGCGGUGGAAUGCGCAGAUAUCAGGAAGAACACCAACGGCGAAGGCAGCUCGCUGGGACGGAACUGACGCUGAGGAGCGAAAGCGUGGGUAGCAAACAGG